rnacentral:rRNA from 1 species
AACGAACGCUGGCGGCAGGCUUAACACAUGCAAGUCGAACGCCCCGCAAGGGGAGUGGCAGACGGGUGAGUAACGCGUGGGAACCUACCCAGUUCUACGGAACAACAGAGGGAAACUUCUGCUAAUACCGUAUACGCCCUAAGGGGGAAAGAUUUAUCGGAAUUGGAUGAGCCCGCGUAAGAUUAGCUAGUUGGUGAGGUAAUGGCUCACCAAGGCGACGAUCUUUAGCUGGUCUGAGAGGAUGAUCAGCCACACUGGGACUGAGACACGGCCCAGACUCCUACGGGAGGCGGCAGUGGGGAAUAUUGGACAAUGGGCGCAAGCGUGAUCCAGCCAUGCCGCGUGAGUGAUGAAGGCCUUAGGGUUGUAAAGCUCUUUCAGUAGGGAAGAUAAUGACGGUACCUACAGAAGAAGCCCCGGCUAACUUCGUGCCAGCAGCCGCCGUAAAAC